GUGCCGCCGCUCCGCCUUCUCCUUUUCGCAAUGUUGACGCAAUCUAUAAAUAGUGGAACAAAAGGAGCAACUUCCUCGCAGCUUUGCUGAAACUGCACAAAAAAGGCAACCGGGGGGGUGGGGGGCGUUAUUUUGAUUUGAUUUUUUUUUGCCACCGCUUUCAAAAGCGAAGCCUCCUUCCCCCUCCCCCGCAGCUCUCUCGCUACUGGAAGAUUACAGAUCCGUGCGCGAUUAUUUUUUGAUUCCUCGUUGUCUGCUGCGCUGGCACCGUCCUGCGAGCGGCGGAGCGGCUCGGCGCCGGGCUUCCCCCGCUGACAAUCAUGGAUGAAAUCCAUACACUGAUGUCUAACCUGUAACAAAGGCUCAUUGUACUUACAGCUGAAUUUUCUCAUCAUGUGACCAACUAUCCACAAAGCCUCAGUGCCAUUAAGAAGUUUUGAGGAAUAUAUUAUUUGGUACUGCCAAAAAAACAUAAUUAAAAGAAUGCAUGUAAAUUAUAUUUAUUUUCUAAUUCAACACUUUUUUCUUUUUUCUUUUUAAUGAUUAUUUCACGUCUAAAGUACAGUUGGGGGAAAAGCAGAACUUACAUUAUCCCAAAAGGCAGGUUCCAGCACAACCCAUGAUACACUGACAGAAUUCACAGUAAGAAGGCACAGUGGGGUCACACAAACAGAACCCCGCACUACUGCAGAAUCUCCUUAAUUUCAAUAGGGCCCUACCCACAUAUAAUCAGUUACAGAGUCCGCCUAUGUGGGAGUAACAACAGUGAGCACAGGACCCGUUCCUCCACACACCUGCAAAAAUAUUGGGAUAAAAAAAAAAGAAAUUCAAAUUAGUAACACGCAGCAAAACCUUCUGAUAGCCUGUUUUAUUACAGCAUUUAGCACAUAAUAAAGGAGUUCCAUACAUCUUUAAGUUGUACGUUAUUUAUAGGAAUUUUUAGUUCCUUUUUUUUACAGAAUGUUGACUUAAAAUUGCUUACAGGCCUUACAUGUAGCAGCAGCACAUUAUGGGAACUUUUACUGAUAUGCAUU